rnacentral:rRNA from 1 species
GACGAACGCUGGCGGCGCGCUUAACACAUGCAAGUCGAGCGAAGCGGCGGACGUGUGAGUAACACGUGAGUAACCUGACUUAGACAUUGGGAUAGCCUCGGGAAACCGGGAUUAAUACCAAAUGGUCUAAGCUGAGCUCGCGGCCCAUUAGCUAGUUGGGAGGUAACGGCCCACCAAGGCGACGUUGGGUAGCCGGCCUGAGAGGGUGACCGGCCACAUUGGAACUGAGAAACGGUCCAAACUCUACGGGAGGCAGCAGUGGGGAAUAUUGCACAAGGGAGGGAACUCUGAUGCAGCGACGCCGCGUGAACGAAGAAGGCUUUCGAGUCGUAAAGUUCUUUUAUAUGGGAAGCGGUACCAUAAGAAAAAGCCCCGGCUAACUACGUGCCAGCAGCCGCGGUAAUUC